GUUCAAACGAGGAAGGGCUUACAGUGGAUACCUAGGCAUCCAAAGAUGAGGAAGGGCGUGGUAAGGGACAAAAUGCUUUGGGGAGUUGAAAAUGAGCAUAGAUCUGGAGAUUCCCGAAUAGGUUAACCUUUUUAACUGCUUCUUGAUCCAUGAGUAGGCAAGAGACAACCUAGAGAACUAAAACAUAUUAGUAGCCAGAGGAAUAGAAAGAAAAAGCAAUUCUCGUAGUAGCGGCGAUCGAAAUGGGAGCAUCCUAAACCGUGAAAACGGGGUUGUGGGAGAGCACAAUAUAAGCUAUGUGUUGCUAGGCGAAGUAGUUGAGUCAUGCACCCUAGAUGGUGAGAGUCUAGUAGCCAAAAGAAUCAUUGGGUUACUCUCUAACCCGAGUAUCAAGGGGCACGUGGAAUCCCAUGUGAAUCAGCAAGGACCACCUUGCAAGGCUAAAUACUCUUGGGUGACCAAUAGCGAAGUAGUACCAUGAGGGAAAGGUGAAAAGAACCCCCAUCCGGGAGUGAAAUAGAACAUGAAACCGUAAGCUCCCAAGUAGUGGGAGGAAAAUGAUAUCUCUGACCACGUGCCUGUUGAAGAAUGAGCCGAUGACUUAUAGGGAGUGGCUUGGUUAAGGGAACCCACCAGAGCCGUAGCGAGAGUGAGUCUUCAUGGGGCAAUUUUCACUGCUUAUGGACCCGAACCUGGGUGAUCUAUCCAUGACCAGGAUGAAGCUUGGGUGAAACCAAGUGGAGUUCUGAACCGAAUAAUGUUGAAAAAUCAAUGGAUGAGUCAUGCUUAGGGGUGAAAUUCCACUUGAACCUAGAGCUAUCUGGUUCUCCUUGAAAUUCUUUGAGGAGCAUCAGUUGACUAGACCAUCUAGCGGUAAAGCACUGUUUCGAUACGGGCCAUGAGAGCGGUACCAAAUCAAGGAAAACUCUUAGUACUAGAUUGCCCUAAUAAAAGG
rnacentral:ncRNA from 1 species